rnacentral:rRNA from 1 species
CCUUCGGGGCUGAGUAGAGCGGCGGACGGGUGAGUAACACGUGAGUGAUCUACCUUGAGGCGGGGGACAACCCAGGGAAACCUGGGCUAAUACCGCAUACAGCGCCGGGUGUAGAGGCCCGUCGUGAAAGCUGGCCUAUCCUUGGAAGCUAGCGCCUCUAGAUGAGCUCGCGGCCUAUCAGCUAGUUGGUGAGGUAACGGCUCACCAAGGCGAUGACGGGUAGCUGGCGUGAGAGCGCGAUCAGCCACACUGGGACUGAGACACGGCCCAGACUCCUACGGGAGGCAGCAGUGGGGAAUCUUGCACAAUGGGCGAAAGCCUGAUGCAGCGACGCCGCGUGGGGGAGGAAGGCCCUAGGGUUGUAAACCCCUGUCAGGUGGGAAGAGCAAGAGGUCGGCGAACAGCCGGUCUCCCCGACGGUACCACCAGAGGAAGCUCCGGCUAACUCCGUGCCAGCAGCCGCGGUAAAACGGAGGGAGCAAGCGUUGUCCGGAAUUACUGGGCGUAAAGAGCGCGUAGGCGGCCAUGUAAGUCGUGUGUGAAAGGCCGGGGCUUAACCCCGUGUAUGGCAUACGAUACUGCAUGGCUGGAGACAGGUAGGGGCGAGCGGAAUUCCCGGUGUAGCGGUGGAAUGCGUAGAUAUCGGGAAGAACACCAGUGGCGAAGGCGGUUGACUGGGCCGUUUCUGACGCUCAUGUACGAAAGCGUGGGGAGCAAACAGG